rnacentral:lncRNA from 1 species
CUCUUUCAUCUUUUCUUUUAAAAAGUGAUUUAGUCAUCUUACCAAGUAGACAGGAUUCGCAGAUUGAUAAUGAUUCAUAACCAUCUAUUUUAAGAAUAUGCUCCUUGAUUCACCUAUCAAUCUUAUUCUUGUUCAUAUAACCAAGCCUACAAUGCUAAAGAUAGGAUUCACUGAUAUUAUCUAUUUUAGGACGUUUGCUGG